rnacentral:rRNA from 1 species
CGGCAUGCCUAACACAUGCAAGUCGAACGAAGGCUUCGGCCUUAGUGGCGCACGGGUGCGUAACGCGUGGGAAUCUGCCCUUAGGUUCGGAAUAACAGCUGGAAACGGCUGCUAAUACCGGAUGAUGACGAAAGUCCAAAGAUUUAUCGCCUGAGGAUGAGCCCGCGUUGGAUUAGGUAGUUGGUGGGGUAAAGGCCUACCAAGCCGACGAUCCAUAGCUGGUCUGAGAGGAUGAUCAGCCACACUGGGACUGAGACACGGCCCAGACUCCUACGGGAGGCAGCAGUGGGGAAUAUUGGACAAUGGGCGAAAGCCUGAUCCAGCAAUGCCGCGUGAGUGAUGAAGGCCCUAGGGUUGUAAAGCUCUUUUACCCGGGAAGAUAAUGACUGUACCGGGAGAAUAAGCCCCGGCUAACUCCGUGCCAGCAGCCGCGGUAAUACGGAGGGGGCUAGCGUUGUUCGGAAUUACUGGGCGUAAAGCGCACGUAGGCGGCUUUGUAAGUCAGAGGUGAAAGCCUGGAGCUCAACUCCAGAACUGCCUUUGAGACUGCAUCGCUUGAAUCCAGGAGAGGUCAGUGGAAUUCCGAGUGUAGAGGUGAAAUUCGUAGAUAUUCGGAAGAACACCAGUGGCGAAGGCGGCUGACUGGACUGGUAUUGACGCUG